GCAAAACUUGAUGGAAUGUUUUGCCUAGAAAAAUGCCAAAUCCAGAUGCUUGGAGGAUCAUACCUGGACACAGAGUUCUGUUCCUAAAGCAGACAAGGAGUGAGUGUAACCUCCAGGUGUGUGCACAGGGCCCUGCUUGGCAGGAAGAGUUCCCUGGUUUGUUGGAGAGCCCCAGCUGCCUUCCUGCAGUGAGGAUAAAGGUCUCUGAGCUGAUGCUUCUCCCUGCUGACUUUGUUCUGACAUCCUCAUGGAUAAGAUCUGGGAAUCUCCUCGUCUCCACUCUGUCCUUGCCUCCUCUCCUCCUGAAUACACAGAGUGAUUAACUCAUUUCUUCUUUCCUGUUUUCACUUCAUAUAAGGAUCUAACAACAGACCCUCUUCUGAAAUGUCCCUUAUCUUCAUUUUAAAACAUCUUUUAAAGAAACAUCUCCUCCUUCUUUACCAAAGCAGACAAUGGGUGCAGAAGGUAAUGACAUCCCACGGUUUGGAAUAUUUAAGGAUUUCACACAUUGCUUCCAAAAAUCCCGGGGGUGUGAUAAUCUUCACAGAGUAAAUAUCUACCUUGUGAAUGAAUUUAGCUCUUUAGAGAAGAAAUUUUGACUGCUGAAUUAGUGACAAAAAUAAAAAGGAAUGCUGCCUCUUGGGAUCUUCA
rnacentral:lncRNA from 1 species